CGGCAGUCCUGUGGGUGAGAAUAGCUCAUUGAUGAGAGGUCGGCAGUCCUGUGGGUGACAACAGCUCAGUGAUGAGAGGUCGGCAGUCCUGUGGGUGAAAACAGCUCAUUAAUGAGAGGUCGGCAGUCCUGUGGGUGAAAACAGCUCAUUAAUGAGAGGUCGGCAGUCCUGUGGGUGACAACAGCUCAUUAAUGAGGUCGGCAGUCCUGUGGGUGACAACAGCUCAUUGAUGAGAGGUCGGCAGUCCUGUGGGUGAAAACAGCUCAUUGAUGAGAGGUCGGCAGUCCUGUGGGUGACAACAGCUCAUUGAUGAGAGGUCGGCAGUCCUGUGGGUGACAACAGCUCGGUGAUCAGAGGUCCAAGGAGAAUGGCAAGAAUCGUGCUAACAGCGCUCUACUCUGGGCUAACAGGCAAAUAACGGCGCAGCACAACAGUGGUGUGCAGAUCUGCAUCUUGGGAACGCACAACACGUAGGUCCUUGUCACGGAUUGGCUGUUGCAGCAGACGACCACACCGGGUUCCUAUCAGAUAAAAAACAACAAGAAGAGGCUCCCAGUGGGCACGUGAUCAUCAACACUGGACAACUGAGGGUGGAAAAGCAGUGCCUGGUCCGACCAAUCCUGGUUCCUGUUGCGUCAUGCUGAUGUCAGGGUUUGGCGUAAGCAGCAUGAGUCCAUGGCCACAUCCUGUCUGAUGUCAAAGGUACAGGCUGGUGGUGUAAUGGUGUGGGGAAUGUUUUCCUGGCACACGUUAGGGCCCUUGAUACCAAUUGAGCAACGUGUCCAUGCCCCGAAGAAUCCAGGCUGUUCUGGAGGCAGAGGUACUCACUUUGGGUGCUGUUUAUAUUUAAGUGCAGGAACUCUGUAAUACUGUUGAGAUAAUAUUCUAGAAGAGGAGCAGGAACUCCAAUACUGUUGAGAUAAUAUUCUAGAAGAGGGAACAGGAACUCUGUAAUACUGUUGAGAUAAUAUUCUAGAAGAGGAGCAGGAACUCCAAUACUGUAGAGAUAAUAUUCUAGAAGAGGAACAGGAACUCCAAUACUGUAGAGAUAAUAUUCUAUAAGAGAGAACAGGAACUCCAAUACUGUUGAGAUAAUAUUCUAGAAGAGGAACAGGAACUCCAAUACUGUAGAGAUAAUAUUCUAUAAGAGAGAACAGGAACUCCAAUACUGUUGAGAUAAUAUUCUAGAAGAGGAACAGGAACUCCAAUACUGUUGAGAUAAUAUUCUAGAAGAGGAGCAGGAAGUGGACUUCCUGACGGGCCGACCGCAGGCUGUGAGGAUUAGCAUCAGAGGCCCCAGGGUGUGUCUUCAGUCAUCUGCUGUACUCUCUGUUCACCAACGACUGCAUGGCUUUGCACCAACACCAACUCCCAUCAUCAAGUUUGCAGGCCUGAUAACCAACCUGUCUUACUGAUUGAUGUCAUGUUAAAUCCACUUCAGUGUCGAUGAAGGGGAGGAGACAGACGGGUUAAAGGGGAGGAGACAGAUGGGUUAAAGGGGAGGAGACAGACGGGUUAAAGGGGAGGAG